rnacentral:tRNA from 1 species
GCGCGGGGUGCCGAAGAGUGUCGGUUUUGCCUUCGUAAUGCGGGGGUCGGAGGUUCGACUCCUCUCCCCGGCACCA